UGGCCACCAACUCCAGCUCCGAUGAUGAUCAAAUCGU
rnacentral:sRNA from 1 species